rnacentral:rRNA from 1 species
UGGGGAAUUUUGGACAAUGGGCGAAAGCCUGAUCCAGCAAUGCCGCGUGUGUGAAGAAGGCCUUCGGGUUGUAAAGCACUUUUGUCCGGAAAGAAAUCCUUGGCUCUAAUACAGUCGGGGGAUGACGGUACCGGAAGAAUAAGCACCGGCUAACUACGUGCCAGCAGCCGCGGUAAUACGUAGGGUGCAAGCGUUAAUCGGAAUUACUGGGCGUAAAGCGUGCGCAGGCGGUUUGCUAAGACCGAUGUGAAAUCCCCGGGCUCAACCUGGGAACUGCAUUGGUGACUGGCAGGCUAGAGUAUGGCAGAGGGGGGUAGAAUUCCACGUGCAGCAGUGAAAUGCGUAGAGAUGUGGAGGAAUACCGAUGGCGAAGGCAGCCCCCUGGGCCAAUACUGACGCUCAUGCACGAAAGCGUGGGGAGCAAACAGGAUUAGAUACCCUGGUAGUCCACGCCCUAAAACGAUGUCAACUAGUUGUUGGGGAUUCAUUUCCUUAGUAACGUAGCUAACGCGUGAAGUUGACCGCCUGGGGAGUACGGUCGCAAGAUU